CGAGCGGAAACGAGAAAUCUGAACCUUCGGGGAACGAUAACGGCGUCGAGCGGCGGACGGGUGAGUAAUGCCUAGGAAAUUGCCCUGAUGUGGGGGAUAACCAUUGGAAACGAUGGCUAAUACCGCAUGAUGCCUACGGGCCAAAGAGGGGGACCUUCGCCCCUCUCGCGUCAGGAUAUGCCUAGGUGGGAUUAGCUAGUUGGUGAGGUAAGGGCUCACCAAGGCGACGAUCCCUAGCUCCUCUGAGAGGAUGAUCAGCCACACUGGAACUGAGACACGGUCCAGACUCCUACGGGAGGCAGCAGUGGGGAAUAUUGCACAAUGGGCGCAAGCCUGAUGCAGCCAUGCCGCGUGUGUGAAGAAGGCCUUCGGGUUGUAAAGCACUUUCAGUCGUGAGGAAGGUCCUGUCGUUAAUAGCGGCAUCAUUUGACGUUAGCGACAGAAGAAGCACCGGCUAACUCCGUGCCAGCAGCCGCGGUAAUACGGAGGGUGCGAGCGUUAAUCGGAAUUACUGGGCGUAAAGCGCAUGCAGGUGGAAUGUUAAGUCAGAUGUGAAAGGGCGGGGCUCAACCUCGGAACCGG
rnacentral:rRNA from 1 species